UGGCUCAGGACGAACGCUGGCGGCGUGCCUAAUACAUGCAAGUCGUACGCUUCUUUUUCCACCGGAGCUUGCUCCACCGGAAAAAGAGGAGUGGCGAACGGGUGAGUAACACGUGGGUAACCUGCCCAUCAGAAGGGGAUAACACUUGGAAACAGGUGCUAAUACCGUAUAACAAUCGAAACCGCAUGGUUUUGAUUUGAAAGGCGCUUUCGGGUGUCGCUGAUGGAUGGACCCGCGGUGCAUUAGCUAGUUGGUGAGGUAACGGCUCACCAAGGCCACGAUGCAUAGCCGACCUGAGAGGGUGAUCGGCCACAUUGGGACUGAGACACGGCCCAAACUCCUACGGGAGGCAGCAGUAGGGAAUCUUCGGCAAUGGACGAAAGUCUGACCGAGCAACGCCGCGUGAGUGAAGAAGGUUUUCGGAUCGUAAAACUCUGUUGUUAGAGAAGAAUAAGGAUGAGAGUAACUGUUCAUCCCUUGACGGUAUCUAACCAGAAAGCCACGGCUAACU
rnacentral:rRNA from 1 species